rnacentral:misc_RNA from 1 species
AACGCACAUUGCGCCCGCCAGUAUUCUGGCGGGCAUGCCUGUCCGAGCGUCAUUUCCACCAUCAAGCCCCCGGGCUUGUGUUGGGGACCUGCGGCUGCCCGCAGGCCCUGAAAACCAGUGGCGGGCUCGCCGACACUCCGAGCGCAGUAGUAUCUAUCUCGCUCAGGGCGUGUCGCGGGUUCUGGCCGUUAAACCCCAACCCCAAAAGGUUGACCUCGGAUCAGGUAGGAAGACCCGCUGAACUUAA